UACGAAGGGUGCAAGCGUUACUCGGAAUUACUGGGCGUAAAGCGUGCGUAGGUGGUUUUUUAAGUCCGUUGUGAAAGCCCUGGGCUCAACCUGGGAAUGGCAGUGGAUACUGGAAAGCUAGAGUGCGGUAGAGGGUAGUGGAAUUCCCGGUGUAGCAGUGAAGUGCGUAGAGAUCGGGAGGAACACCAGUGGCGAAGGCGGCUACCUGGACCAGCACUGACACUGAGGCACGAAAGCGUGGGGAGCAAACAGG
rnacentral:rRNA from 1 species